AAUAGAUACCCAGGUAGUCCACGCCGUAAACGAUGUCGACUUGGAGGUUGUUCCCUUGAGGAGUGGCUUCCGGAGCUAACGCGUUAAGUCGACCGCCUGGGGAGUACGGCCGCAAGGUUAAACUCAAAUGAAUUGACGGGGGCCCGCACAAGCGGUGGAGCAUGUGGUUUAAUUCGAUGCAACGCGAAGAACCUUACCUACUCUUGACAUCCACGGAACUUAGCAGAGAUGCUUUGGUGCCUUCGGGAACCGUGAGACAGGUGCUGCAUGGCUGUCGUCAGCUCGUGUUGUGAAAUGUUGGGUUAAGUCCCGCAACGAGCGCAACCCUUAUCCUUUGUUGCCAGCGGUUAGGCCGGGAACUCAAAGGAGACUGCCAGUGAUAAACUGGAGGAAGGUGGGGAUGACGUCAAGUCAUCAUGGCCCUUACGAGUAGGGCUACACACGUGCUACAAUGGCGCAUACAAAGAGAAGCGACCUCGCGAGAGCAAGCGGACCUCAUAAAGUGCGUCGUAGUCCGGAUUGGAGUCUGC
rnacentral:rRNA from 1 species